rnacentral:rRNA from 1 species
GAUCCUUCGGGAUUAGUGGCAGACGGGUGAGUAACGCGUGGGAAGCUACCUUGUGGUAGGGAACAACAGUUGGAAACGACUGCUAAUACCCUAUGAGCCCUAUGGGGGAAAGAUUUAUCGCCAUGAGAUGUGCCCGCGUUAGAUUAGCUAGUUGGUAAGGUAAUGGCUUACCAAGGCGACGAUCUAUAGCUGGUCUGAGAGGAUGAUCAGCCACACUGGGACUGAGACACGGCCCAGACUCCUACGGGAGGCAGCAGUGGGGAAUAUUGGACAAUGGGGGCAACCCUGAUCCAGCCAUGCCGCGUGUGUGAUGACGGCCUUAGGGUUGUAAAGCACUUUCAGCAGUGAAGAUAAUGACAUUAACUGCAGAAGAAGCCCCGGCUAACUUCGUGCCAGCAGCCGCGGUAAUACGAAGGGGGCUAGCGUUGUUCGGAAUCACUGGGCGUAAAGCGUACGUAGGCGGACUGAUCAGUCAGGGGUGAAAUCCCGGGGCUCAACCCCGGAACUGCCUUUGAUACUGUCAGUCUUGAGAUCGAGAGAGGUGAGUGGAACUCCGAGUGUAGAGGUGAAAUUCGUAGAUAUUCGGAAGAACACCAGUGGCGAAGGCGGCUCACUGGCUCGAUACUGACGCUGAGGUACG